UACGGAGGAUCCAAGCGUUAUCCGGAAUCAUUGGGUUUAAAGGGUCCGUAGGCGGGCCUGUAAGUCAGUGGUGAAAUCCGGCGGCUUAACCGUCGAACUGCCAUUGAUACUGCAGGCCUUGAAUUUCCGGGAAGUGACUAGAAUAUGUAGUGUAGCGGUGAAAUGCUUAGAGAUUACAUGGAAUACCGAUUGCGAAGGCAGGUCACUACCGGUGGAUUGACGCUGAUGGACGAAAGCGUGGGGAGCGAACAGG
rnacentral:misc_RNA from 1 species